rnacentral:rRNA from 1 species
AGACUUUGAUUAUGGCUCAGGACGAACGCUGGCGGCAUGCCUAACACAUGCAAGUCGAACGGAGUCUUUGCGGAAGUUUACUUUUGUGAAGACUUAGUGGCGGACGGGUGAGUAACACGUGGGUAAUCUGCCUGAGAGACUGGGACAACAGGGGGAAACCGCUGCUAAUACCAGAUAAGCUCACGGGGACGGGAGUUCCUGGGAGAAAAGGAGAAAUCCGCUUUCAGAUGAGCCCGCGGCUGAUUAGCCAGUUGGUGGGGUAACGGCCUACCAAAGCGACGAUCAGUAGCCGGCCUGAGAGGGUGUACGGCCACACUGGAACUGAGACACGGUCCAGACUCCUACGGGAGGCAGCAGUGGGGAAUUUUCCGCAAUGGGCGAAAGCCUGACGGAGCAAUGCCGCGUGAGUGAGGAAGGCCUUCGGGUUGUAAAGCUCUGUCUUCGGGGACGAAUAAAUGACGGUACCCGAGGAGGAAGCCACGGCUAACUACGUGCCAGCAGCCGCGGUAAUACGUAGGUGGCGAGCGUUGUCCGGAAUGACUGGCGUCAAGGGCGUGUAGGUGGACUGAUCAGUCGGAUGUGAAAGCCCCAGGCUUAAUCUGGG